UCUUUCGGGGCAAGGUGAAAUUCCUAACCGGCAGUAUAAAAGCCUGCGACCCAUAAAUGUUUAGUAUUUAUGGCUGAUCUAGUUUGAUUCUAGAGCCGACAGUUAAAGUCUGGAUGGGAGAAAGA
rnacentral:ncRNA from 1 species